rfam:Brassica napus, WGS project CCCW01000000 data, contig: 17129
GGAAUAUAAGAACUCAUCUCUUAACUUUUAACUAAAAAAGCUAAGAACCGACUCUUAAAUAAGAGUUUUAAGAGCCGGUUCUUAACUUUUUUAGUUAAAAGUUAAGAGACGGGUUCUUAUAUUCC